rnacentral:rRNA from 1 species
UACGUAGGGUGCGAGCGUUGUCCGGAAUUAUUGGGCGUAAAGAGCUCGUAGGCGGUCUGUCGCGUCUGCUGUGAAAACCCGAGGCUCAACCUCGGGCCUGCAGUGGGUACGGGCAGACUAGAGUGCGGUAGGGGAGAAUGGAAUUCCUGGUGUAGCGGUGGAAUGCGCAGAUAUCAGGAGGAACACCGAUGGCGAAGGCAGUUCUCUGGGCCGUAACUGACGCUGAGGAGCGAAAGCGCGGGGAGCGAACAGG